GUGUGUGUGUGUGUGUGUGUGUGUGUAGCAGAGCUAGAAUUGAACCAAGCAGUCAGAAAAUCAUAAUCAUCUGAUGAGUGGAAGCAAGGUGGAGUGGAAUGGAUGGAAGCACCUGAAGUGACUGAAGCCAGUCUGGGAAGCCAAAUUCCAGCUCCAUCAUUUGCAAGCCAGAUCUCCAUGACUUCAUUCAAAUUCUUCCUUCGUCACACGCGGGGAAUUGAG